rnacentral:rRNA from 1 species
UACGUAGGUGGCGAGCGUUGUCCGGAUUUACUGGGCGUAAAGGGAGCGUAGGCGGACUUUUAAGUGAGAUGUGAAAUACCUGGGCUCAACUUGGGUGCUGCAUUUCAAACUGGACGUCUAGAGUGCAGGAGAGGAGAAUGGAAUUCCUAGUGUAGCAGUGAAAUGCGUAGAGAUUAGGAAGAACACCAGUGGCGAAGGCGAUUCUCUGGACUGUAACUGACGCUGAGGCUCGAAAGCGUGGGGAGCAAACAGGAUUAGA